rnacentral:rRNA from 1 species
AGCCUGAUGCAGCCAUGCCGCGUGUGUGAAGAAGGCCUUCGGGUUGUAAAGCACUUUCAGUCGUGAGGAAGGUGGUGGGUUAAUAGCCAUCAUUUGACGUUAGCGACAGAAGAAGCACCGGCUAACUCCGUGCCAGCAGCCGCGGUAAUACGGAGGGUGCGAGCGUUAAUCGGAAUUACUGGGCGUAAAGCGCAUGCAGGUGGUUUGUUAAGUCAGAUGUGAAAGCCCGGGGCUCAACCUCGGAAUAGCAUUUGAAACUGGCAGACUAGAGUACUGUAGAGGGGGGUAGAAUUUCAGGUGUAGCGGUGAAAUGCGUAGAGAUCUGAAGGAAUACCGGUGGCGAAGGCGGCCCCCUGGACAGAUACUGACACUCAGAUGCGAAAGCGUGGGGAGCAAACAGGAUUAGAUACCCUGGUAGUCCACGCCGUAAACGAUGUCUACUUGAGGUUGUGGCCUUGAGCCGUGGCUUUCGGAGCUAACGCGUUAAGUAGACCGCCUG